rnacentral:rRNA from 1 species
GUUCUGGUGUUCAUGCCUUUUUGGAACCACGCUAAUCCAUCUCGAACUUAGCUGUGAAACGAAAAGGGGGCAAGAAUACUGCGCGGGGGACUGCGUGGGAAGGCAGCCUAAUGCCAGGAC